UGCCCGGGGAGGCCAGGCUAGGGCGGGAACAGCUGGUAGCGCGUGUGUGCAGACCGCAGUCCUCGUCCCCUCUGACAUGUGAUCUCGGGAAAGGCAUCUAACUCCACUGGGCCUCAGUUUACUCAUCUGCCAGGCGAGGACAGCUCCCUCCCAGCGCUGUCUACCUCCUGUGAGGCUCACGAGGCAACGCACGGAGGGCCGUCUACAUCCAGGCCUCAAGCCAUGGCCACACUGACACCACAGAAGCUGGGCAGCUCUUUGGCAAGCCUGGGAGAGCUGGGACUUCAGGGAAGUAAAGAAGAACCCAGACAAAGCCUCCUUUCAAAAGACUCAUCUCUUGAGGACUUCAGGCUAUGGGCCUUUGGAGUCGGGGAAGAUGUGAUCCCAAUGGGGGAAGCUUAGCAAACUCCCGUCCCGGGGCAUCCAGU